rnacentral:rRNA from 1 species
GACGAACGCUGGCGGCGUGCUUAACACAUGCAAGUCGAGCGGAAAGGCCCUUUCGGGGGUACUCGAGCGGCGAACGGGUGAGUAACACGUGAGUAAUCUGCCCUGCGCUCUGGGAUAGCCACCGGAAACGGUGAUUAAUACCGGAUAUGACCACUAAACGCAUGUGUUGGUGGUGGAAAGUUUUUCGGCGCAGGAUGUGCUCGCGGCCUAUCAGCUUGUUGGUGAGGUAAUGGCUCACCAAGGCUUUGACGGGUAGCCGGCCUGAGAGGGUGACCGGUCACACUGGGACUGAGACACGGCCCAGACUCCUACGGGAGGCAGCAGUGGGGAAUAUUGGACAAUGGGCGGAAGCCUGAUCCAGCAACGCCGCGUGAGGGAUGACGGCCUUCGGGUUGUAAACCUCUUUCAGUACCGACGAAGCGAAAGUGACGGUAGGUACAGAAGAAGGACCGGCCAACCACGUGCCAGCAGCCGCAGUAACAC